GACGAACGCUGGCGGCGUGCUUAACACAUGCAAGUCGAACGGAAAGGCCCUGCUUUUGUGGGGUGCUCGAGUGGCGAACGGGUGAGUAACACGUGAGUAACCUGCCCUUGACUUUGGGAUAACUUCAGGAAACUGGGGCUAAUACCGGAUAGGAGCUCCUGCUGCAUGGUGGGGGUUGGAAAGUUUCGGCGGUUGGGGAUGGACUCGCGGCUUAUCAGCUUGUUGGUGGGGUAGUGGCUUACCAAGGCUUUGACGGGUAGCCGGCCUGAGAGGGUGACCGGCCACAUUGGUACUGAGAUACGGCCCAGACUCCUACGGGAGGCAGCAGUGGGGAAUAUUGCACAAUGGGCGGAAGCCUGAUGCAGCAACGCCGCGUGCGGGAUGACGGCCUUCGGGUUGUGAACCGCUUUCGCCUGUGACGAAGCGUGAGUGACGGUAAUGGGUAAAGAAGCACCGGCUAACUACGUG
rnacentral:rRNA from 1 species